rnacentral:rRNA from 1 species
ACGAACGCUGGCGGCGUGCUUAACGCAUGCAAGUCGAACGGAAAGGCCCUGCUUUUGUGGGGUGCUCGAGUGGCGAACGGGUGAGUAACACGUGAGUAACCUGCCCUUGACUUUGGGAUAACUUCAGGAAACUGGGGCUAAUACCGGAUAGGAGCUCCUGCUGCAUGGUGGGGGUUGGAAAGUUUCGGCGGUUGGGGAUGGACUCGCGGCUUAUCAGCUUGUUGGUGGGGUAGUGGCUUACCAAGGCUUUGACGGGUAGCCGGCCUGAGAGGGUGACCGGCCACAUUGGGACUGAGAUACGGCCCAGACUCCUACGGGAGGCAGCAGUGGGGAAUAUUGUACAAUGGGCGGAAGCCUGAUGCAGCAACGCCGCGUGCGGGAUGACGGCCUUCGGGUUGUAAACCGCUUUCGCCUGUGACGAAGCGUGAGUGACGGUAAUGGGUAAAGAAGCACCGGCUAACUACGUG